GCUCUCGUAGUGUAAUGGAUAGCACAACAGAUUUCGGCUCUGUUUGUGAGGGUUCGAGUCCUUCCGAGAGUA
rnacentral:tRNA from 2 species